AAGUCGUAACAAGGUAUUCGUAGGUGAACCUGCGAAUGGAUCAUUAACACUAAUGAACUAAAUACCAAAUCUAACAACAACAAGUUGGUGAUGUUCGCAUUACCAACUGAGAACUCGGUGGGAUGAAGAAUGGAUUCAAUCACGCGUUUUACGUGCUGUUUGCCAACUCAUUCGGAUUCCUUCACAAUUUUUAUUAAAUCCACAACAAAUUAAAACAACAACCAAAUCAUCAGACGUGGCCUUGUAAUAGGGUCUUCUGUUCUGAUUCUAACACCAAGCCUUCAAACCAUGUCUUUAACCGGACGUGUUUGUCGGAUACAUUAACAACAAUUGAAUACAACUCGUUGCAAUGGAUAUCUUGGUUCUC
rnacentral:misc_RNA from 1 species